AAAGAACUUCUCUUAUCCUGAAAGAUCGACUCCUGUCUGAGAUCCCACAGCCAGGCAGUGGCAAAAAUGAAACUGACCUGGGUACAGGAAUACCACUGUCUUAGAAAGAGCUGGUAAUGGCGUGACAGAAGUGCUCCUAAAGCCUGUGGCGCCCUCUUCUGACAUCUCAGCCAACAUA